GGGCAGUUGGUCGAGCGGGCUAAGGUGCCCAGUUUAGGGCACUGGUACGACAGGGCGUGGGUUCGAAUCCCACAUUGGCCA